ensembl:lncRNA
AAAAAAGUUUCUGUUUAAAAAGGGAUUAAACUCAAGAAGACAGCUUUACUGCUACAACAGUCAAACAAAGGAUAUCAAACUAAAAUAUUCUGAAAAGGAAAGAAAUGGUAAAUAAUCAACUAAACAAAACAUUUCUGCUGACAGAAGGCACUAGCUAAUCACUCUUUUUUUUUUUUUUUUUUUUGCCUGUCCCGUUUGGCUUUUUUGCCAUCAGAAUUAUUGUCUAAAGGCAAAGAAAGAUGCCCAACGGAUUUACUUUACCAAAUUGACCAUCCCAGCCUUGCCAUAAUGGUCCAUUUGAUUCACCUUUUAUUGUUUAUUUUAUUUUCACUUGCUGAAUACGGGACAGACUUGACUGGAGGAAGAAGGGGAGAAAGAAAGAGGGAAAGAGAAACAGCUGAGAAGAGGGACGGGGGAGAAGGGCAAAAGACAAAAACCAACAGAACGGGCAGAAAAAGAAAAAAAAUGCAUAUAUCGAUCACCUGGAUCACCUGUUGAGAAAGAAAAAAGAAAACAAGCAGAAGAGAACAAGAGUAAUAGAAUAAACAACAUCACAAUGAUAUAUGGGAAUAUGACAGUAAAUACUAAAUAUUAAACAUUAUUGUGCAGCACAUAAGAUCAACAGAACACAGUGUGCUUUGAGGUAGGAGCCAAAAAGGGUGUAGUUUGUGGGUGUGAUCACCCGUGUGUACACCUGUGAGCAUGGACGCGCUUGUUUUUUUUAAAAGGUUCCUUCAUGUAAUGAUCUGCUAGAGGGUGUGUCCACAGCCCCGUCCUCCAGGGUAUGAAGCAGGUAUGGAGGAGAUCAAAACUCCAGACAUCCAGAGGCCCCCAGAACACAAGAGACCAAGGAAGACCAACAGAGGGGCAGCCGCGCCACUGUCCCAGUAAGAGCUGAGGAGAGUCCCAGAUGAGGGCUCACUCAGCAGCCGCGGAGCAGAAGCCAGGGGGAGUUGCAGUGACGCGCCCGUGAGCUCCGCCGACAGCCAGCUGUGCCUGAGUGACCGACCCC